GACGAACGCUGGCGGCGUGCCUAAUACAUGCAAGUUGAGCGCUGAAGGUUGGUACUUGUACCAAUUGGAUGAGCAGCGAACGGGUGAGUAACGCGUGGGGAAUCUGCUUUUGAGUGGGGGACAACAUCUGGAAACGAAUGCUAAUACUGCAUAAAAACUUUAAACACAAGAUUCAAGUUUGAAAGAUGCAUUUGCAUCACUCAAAGAUGAUCCCUCGUUGUAUUAGCUAGUUGGUGAGGUAAAGGCCCACCAAGGCGAAGAUACAUAGCCGACCUGAGAGGGUGAUCGGCCACCACGGGACUGGGGCACGGCCCCAACUCCCACGGGAGGCAACAGUAGGGGAUCAUCGGCAAUGGACGGAAGUCUGACCCAACAAAGCCGCGUUGGUGGAAAAGGUUUUCGGGUCGUAAAACUCUUUUGGUAGGGAAGGACGUUGGUGAGAGUGGAAAGCUCAUCAAGUGACGGUACCUACCCAGAAAGGGACGGCUAACUACGUG
rnacentral:rRNA from 1 species